GCUGGUGUAGCUCAGCUGGUAGAGCAACUGACUUGUAAUCAGUAGGUCGCAAGUUCGAUUCUUGUCACCAGCU
rnacentral:tRNA from 2 species